rnacentral:lncRNA from 1 species
GAUUUCUGACCAUUCUCUCAAACCAAUGGAGCCUGGAGACACUAAGAUCAUGACCUGGCGAUUUCUAUAAGGCUACCUGGGGCCCCAGCUGCCCUUGAGAAGUAAAACUCAAAACUCGAGCUCUUUGCCACUAAUCAGAGGUAGAAUUAUAACGGAGAUCUAAACAAAUUUCUCUAUCUCCAAGCCCCAGGUGUAGAGCUAGGGACUAUUCAUAUCAAUUGCCUCCAGGGAAGAAAAAUAAUGAGGGAGGGAAUCUGAAUGACUGAACAUUACUGAACAAGCACUUGUUAGUAUAAUAACUGUCAACCUUGGCAGAUUCAGCUGGGAGGAAAAUUGAUGAUAGUGGCUUAGCACAACUGUUUCAACCAAAAUGACAGUGGUGUGGGCAGCAGGAGAUCUGCUAAGUGGAAUAAACAAAUGGCCACUAAGAGGAAAAAGUCAAAGGAAAAUAUUCAUAUGGGGUUUCAAUUCAAAGCACCAACACACAUUUUUGUAGAUUAGAUAAACUUCUAUUUUCUAAAACUGCUCAUUUUUGCUGCAGCUUCAUUAACCAUAUGUUACCAGUCCUCUUAUUCCUCACUGUCGCUAUCACUGUUCUGUAAUACUCAAUAGAGACAUUCUCUGAAAAAGAAUGCCCUGACAGCCCACUAUAUUUUAUGUUUCUAUAAAAAAAAAGACAUUGUAGAUUGGCUAAAAUUCCCUUUAAAUUGUUUUGUUGAUAUUUAAUCC